AGUGAACGCUGGCGGUAGGCCUAACACAUGCAAGUCGAACGGCAGCACAGUAAGAGCUUGCUCUUACGGGUGGCGAGUGGCGGACGGGUGAGGAAUACAUCGGAAUCUACUUUUUCGUGGGGGAUAACGUAGGGAAACUUACGCUAAUACCGCAUACGACCUACGGGUGAAAGCAGGGGAUCUUCGGACCUUGCGCGAUUGAAUGAGCCGAUGUCGGAUUAGCUAGUUGGCGGGGUAAAGGCCCACCAAGUCGACGAUCCGUAGCUGGUCUGAGAGGAUGAUCAGCCACACUGGAACUGAGACACGGUCCAGACUCCUACGGGAGGCAGCAGUGGGGAAUAUGGGGCAAUGGGCGCAAGCCUGAUCCAGCCAUACCGAGUGGGUGAAGAAGGCCUUCGGGUUGUAAAGCCCUUUUGUUGGGAAAGAAAAGCAGCAGGUUAAUACCCCGCUGUUCUGACGGUACCCAAAGAAUAAGCACCGGCUAACUUCGUG
rnacentral:rRNA from 1 species